rnacentral:lncRNA from 1 species
AGGAAGGGAGGCAGGAAAGGAAGGAGAAGACAGAAAGAAGCCUACCAUUUCUCAAGCUGAUCCGAUGUAUUAGAGAAAGGAAUGGGAACUUUACCAUUAUAAAUAUGGCAGUUAAGUCCAAGAAACGAAUGAGAUAACUUAGUGAGAGACUACAUAGCGAGAACAAAGGAGGCCAGAGGAAGACCCUGAACAGCAACAUUUAAGAAGACGAAACAGAGCAAAAUAUGUGGAAAGCAAAUUUGAAGAUCCUACUGGAACAAUGCAACAUUUGGAAAUCUUCUCCAAUAAAAUCUCCUCUU